CCUGGGCCGGGGGUUCGGGCUGCUGGACCCUGGGCCUGUCCGGCAGGCAGCGCCCAGCCUGGCUUGUUGCAUCCACCCACCACCCUCUGCCGGCUUACCCGAUGGCCUUGGCGGCCGCGGCCUGCUGUAAGAACACUGGCAGCGGAGCGCUGCAGCUGAGGCCUUCAUUCGUGGGUUGCAUAGAUGCCCCGUCCUUAAGGAGCCACAAAACCAAAAGCGCUUCUCUGGGAUUCCCAGGGUUGGACAACAUCUUACAGGUUUGGGUCUGCUUGCACCCGGAGCCGUGGACGGGGCAGGCUGCGGACCCGCGCUAGCACCCUCGUGUCCUUUACCCUCAGGUCCCAUGGGGUAACACAGAUGGAUGCCUCCUUAUGCAGUGGAGUGCAUUACGAAGAGGCUUGAUCUCAGAGAACCAGAAUGUUAUAGAGUAGUUGGUAAGCAUGCCUACCCUUUGCUACAAAGGGGGAAAUAUUGCUUAGCUUUUUGCUAACCAAACAUCCUUGAAAAGCUAGUCUGGAACAAAGAACAGUUAGUUUUUCACUUAUAAGACAUGCAGAAAUGUGAGAGACAUGUAGAGAAUUGUCUUGAGGAUCAUUUUUCUUUUGCUAGUAGUAAUCCUUUAGCAGCCAUCCUUGCCUUGCCCCUGAACUUAGGGGGAAAGCAUUCAGUCUUUCAUUAAAGUAUAAUAUUAGCUGAUUUUUUUUCUUGUUGUUGUUGAUGCUUUUAUCAAGUUGGGGAAGUUCUUCUAUAGUCUUAUUUUCCUGAGAAUUUUUAUCACAAAUCGGGGUUGAAUUUUGUCAAAUGCAUCUUCUGUACUGAUUGACAUUAUAAUGUGAUUUUUUUUCUUUAGCUUAUUAAUUUGGUGAAUUAAACUGGUUGAUUUUUAGAUCUGGAACCAGCCUUGCACUUCUGGAAUGAGCCCCCACCCUUUUGGUCAUGGUGUAUAAUUCUUUUCACGUACUGCUGAAUUUUACUUGCUAGUAUUUGUUAAGGAUGUUUCCAUCCAAACUGAUGAUGGAUAUUGAUCUAUAGACUUUUUUUGUUUUUCUUCUUUGCACUGCCAUUGUCUGGUUUUGUUAUUAGGGUAACACUGACUUCAUAAGAUUAGUUAGGAAGUAUUCCCUCCUCUUCUAUUUUCUAGAAGAGUUUAUAUGGCAUUGUGUUCUAUAAAUGUCAGUUAGACCAUGUUGAUGGUUGAUGAUGGUGUUGAGUUCUAGAUCCUUGCUGAUUUUUCUAUCUACUGUUCUAUACAUUCUUGAAAGAGGGGUGUGGAGGUCUCCAACUAUGAUUAUAGAUCUUUCUUUUCAAUUCUGUUCCUUUUGUUCCCCAUAUUUUGUGGAUCUCUAGUUCUGUGCAUAUAUAUUUAGGAUUACUAUGCUUCUUGGUGGAUUUACCCCUUCAUUAUUAUGUAUGUACCUCUCUGUCUCUGGUAAAUUUUUUUUAUUUGCUCUGAAGCCAACUUUUUUGUUAUUAAUAUACUACUCCUGUGUUCCUUUGAUUAGUGUUUUCAUGAUUUAUCUUAUCUAUCUUCUUACUUUCAUUAUUUUAUUUGAAGUGAGACAGUAUGUAGUUGGGUUAGUAUGGAUUUAUUUUCAUUUGUCCUGUUUAGAUUUUAUUGUGAUUUGGUGUCUUUCAUCAGUUCUUGAAAAUUCUCAGCCAUUGUCUCUCUUUUUUUUUUAUUAGUUUUAUUUUGGUAUCAUUAAUCUACAAUUACAUGAAGGACAUUAUGUUUAC